rnacentral:rRNA from 1 species
UACAGAGGUCUCAAGCGUUUGUUCGGAUUCAUUGGGCGUAAAGGGUGCGUAGGCGGCGCGGUAAGUCGGGUGUGAAAUCUCGGAGCUUAACUCCGAAACUGCAUUCGAUACUGCCGUGCUUGAGGACUGGAGAGGAGACUGGAAUUUACGGUGUAGCGGUGAAAUGCGUAGAUAUCGGGAGGAACGACCAGCGGCGAAGGCGGACACUCUGGGCUGGAACGUGACGCUGAGGAGCGAAAGCGUGGGGAGCAAACAGGAU